UGUACAGUUCCGUUGCGAUCAGUGACUAGUGGAUUGGAAGCGCAGAUUAACACAGGCUCGGAGACACUGUUUGGAUAACACACCACAUUAAGCAAAACACCGUUUAUGGUUUUAACUGAAGAUUUCACAAUGUCUCGCGCCGACGAGGUUCACCGCAUUACGGAAAACGUCUAUAAGACCAUCAUGGAACAGUUCAACCCCUGUUUGCGGAAUUUCAUCGCUAUGGGGAAGAACUACGAGAAGGCUCUCUCCAGUGUGACGUUUGCAGCGAAGGGUUAUUUUGAUGCUCUGGUGAGAAUGGGCGAGCUGGCCAGUGAAAGUCAAGGAUCAAAAGACUUGGGGGAUGUGCUUUUCCAGAUGGCAGAGGUCCACCGGCAGAUUCAAGUACAGUUAGAGGAAAUGUUGAAAUGCUUCCACAAUGAGCUGAUGUCUGAGCUGGAGAAGAAGGUGGAAUUGGAUGCAAGAUACCUGACUGCAGCUCUCAAGAAGUACCAGAUGGAGCACAAAAGCAAAGGAGAGAGUCUGGAGAAAUGCCAAGGUGAGCUGAAGAAACUGCGGAGGAAGAGCCAGGGCAGCAAAAACCCCUCCAAGUAUGGCGAGAAGGAGUUGCAGUACGUUGAGACCAUUAGCAGUAAACAGAGCGAGCUAGAUACCUUCAUCGCAGAAGGCUACAAAACAGCGCUGUCGGAGGAACGUAGGAGAUACUGUUUCCUGGUGGACCGCCAGUGCGCCGUAGCCAAGAACAGCAGCGCCUACCAUGGCAAGGGGAAAGACCUGCUCACUCAGAAGAUCCCAAUAUGGCAGCAGGCCUGCUCAGACCCCAACAAGCUACCCGAGAGGGCGAUGAUGCUCGCCCAGCAGAUGAGCUCUGGUUCCAGCACCAUGAUCUCCAGCCCUCUGCACUCUUCCAAAGGCAAUCUGGUCAUCUCAGAUCCCAUUCCAGGAGCUCAACCGUUACCCGUGCCGCCGGAACUCGCUGCCUUCAUGGGGAGUGGCCUGGGACACCAGGGGAGGCUAAUGGGUCCUGAUGGCAUAUCUCUGGUGAACGGUACGCCGGGGGUCCAAGGGGAUGAGUACUGGACAGAGGGUGGGGUCUCUCAGGGAAGACCGCCCUCACCUCAGACUCAGACUCAAACACAGAGUCAGCCACAGAGACAGGUCAGCGACGUCUACUCCAACACACUACCUGUGCGCAGGGCCCAGCCCACUAAGAACAAGACCAUUGUGGGAGAGACGAGAACUCUGCCCAGGUCAAGUUCCAUGGCGGCAGGUCUAGAGAAGAAUGGACGCUCUCGAGUACAGGCCAUUUUCUCCCAUGCUGCUGGUGACAACGGCACCCUGCUCAGCUUCACUGAGGGCGACAUCAUCACCCUGCUGGUGCCUGAGGCUCGUGACGGCUGGCACUAUGGAGAGAACGAGAAAAACAAGAUGCGUGGCUGGUUUCCUUUUUCCUACACUCGAGUGCUGCCCGACAGUGAGAGUGAGAAGUUAAAAGUCAAUCUUCAUCAUGGGAAGAGCAGUAGCACAGGGAAUCUACUGGAAAGAGAGGACAUGUAUUUGCCUAUGCCCGACUAUGGACUGACUGCCCGGCUCUUGGCACAGAGCCUUACACAGACUCGACCACGCCCAUACAGCAUGGCAGGCUUUGCACAGUUCCGAUGGCAAAUUGAUUUCGACAGUGUGAACACAGACAGACUAUCAGACACAGAUACAGCUCCGGAUAGAACAGGGGCCACGCCCCUACUUCCCUUAGCCCCUCCCCCUCUUAAGCUCUGCCUCCACACACUCCUCCUCCAAUGGAAGAGGCCGGUCUCAUCCCUCCUUUCUGUGCUCUCUUCCUUCCGGGGCGAUAGUGGCGGUCGUGUGUGGUGGGUCGGGGGGGAACUGUGAGAAGAACGACCGGAACGCAGUCCAACUGCUCGCCUUGCCGCUUUCCGGACUCUGAUUUGCCUGUAGUAACGCCGCUAUGACAUUGCUGUGGACUCCAAAGAGACUGCUUACCACAUCCUGUCUUUCAUGCAUGAGCACAAGAUUUGCUAUGUGAUUGUUUUUUAAAAUGACAUCAUCAUGUAAAAGUGCCAAAAGAAAAGCAAAUUUGGUAUUUUGCAGCAGCUCUCCUAAUUACAAAGCUGUUGCUCAUUGUUUUUUUUAAGCAGAAUUUAUGGGAGCCUCAUGCAAAGUGAGGAGUGUUUUUUUAAUUAUUUGUGGUUGUGCAGAGUGCUCUCUCUAUCUGUGUGUGUGUGCGUUUGUGUGUGCGUUUUUAAGAGCCUUUGGUUUUUUGUGAUCCCUCAUGUAUUACCUGGUGCUCCUCUUGUCCAGAAGCUGUUUUACUUUGUGCCAAAACAAACAGCAGCUUAGAUUUUCUUUCACUUCACAAACAUCAUUGGAAUAUUUGAAAGGAAGAUCUGCAUCCCAGAUUAAACAAGUGCCAAAAGAGUGAACCUAUGAAAUGACAAUGAAGGUUGCAUGAGCUUCAAAAUACUUGGGUAGGACUCUGCUGUUUGCCAAGACCAGCAUGUGUCUGCUCACCCUACAUGCAUGAGAGAAAAGUGCUCUGAGCAUAAACUCAAACCCUUUUUUCCCUAAAAAAACAAAACAAAAACAUUAUCCUGUCUCAGACACCUUAAAGUAUAUGGUUAGAAUGUUAUUAAAAUGAAAAUAAUCACAAGAUAACCUAAUUCAUAUUCACAAAAUAAAAUAAACUCUAAAUACAAUUCACAAAUGCAGAACUAGGGAUGGGAAUCUUAAGUAAUUGAAUGAUUAUAGUUCAGAUUCCUCUUAACAGAUACAUUAUGCCUUAAGUACACAUUACACAGUAACAGUUCUUAGUUCAUUUGCAGUCGGACAUGACGACAUGAAUGACUUGUGGUUCAGUUAUGUUAAGUUUGGCGUUGUAGAUUCAAAUCAACCGGCUCAUAAGAGUAAUUUGUUUGGGAAUCAAACUACACUGGUCAUGCUGUAGAUUCAAUUGACCGUCUCAUAAGAGUUUUUCCAUUGGGAAUCAGACUACACUAGUACUACACUGCUUGUCUGCAAAGGCUGAAGAAAGCAUGUUCGAGAAAAGAUAAGUUAUGAAAAUUAUUCAGUUUCGGUAUUUAAAACAAAAAAAUCAAUGGAACAGAUUCUGAUUAAUUCUUACCCCUAAGUAUAACCUAAUUCACAUGUACAAAAUAUGAUUUGCAAAUGCAAAACAAGAUUCAUAAACACACAAAAUAAAUAAAUACAAGUGCUCACAGUUGUCUUUUAUCGUGAAUUGGUUGAAUCUGCAUUUGCAAAUUGUCAAAUUUUUGGAUCGCCUAGGAUUUGUGUGUGAAUGUUGAGACUUUUUCACAGCUUUUGAUUCACAGUUACAUUUUUGAAGUACGUCUGUUAUCCAAUCAGAUGAGAUGUUUUUUAGCCCAGCCAAUCGAAGUACUUAACAAACAGUGGUGAUACUGUGAGUGAUGCCUCAUUUUAUGGAGUUCAAUGCAUCGGGAAACACUGACAUGUGUAAUGAAAGAGCCUUUAGGUUAUGCAUUUGUGAAUGAGAGUUUGUGAAUAUAUCAUUUUGAGACUAUAUUGACCCCAUAAUAAGUGCCACCAGCCCAUGUCUUUAUAACAUUGUAUGUUUCCAUGGAGUUUUAGGAUGUUGACUGACUGAUCUUCUGGAGCUGUGGUGUAGUCCUUGCUGUGUUGAUGUUCUUUUGUUUCUUCUUUUGAAAACAAGUUAUUGAUUUCCUUGGAAAAUAGACGAACUAGGAAAAAUGCUCAAGAAAUCAGUGUAUCAAUCACAAUAUGCAUGCUGAGGAGGAACAUAGUGAACAUUAAUCUUGAAUGUAUGGUGACUUUUUACGAAAAGAAUAAAUAUCUAUAUAUUAAUAAAACAUUUCUUCAAAUGAGCUUUGGAAGAUUUUUAAUGUCAUCCUGAAUCUUAUAUUCUUUGCAUUGAACAUAAUAAACCCCACCACCUUAACUGUCAUCCACAAAUCAAAAUCAGGGGAAGUUAUGAUUGUAAUUAUUGUUGUCCUUUGAGACUUUACCACCCCAUUUGAACCCUUACUCACCUUCACAUUGUCCUCAGAUUGUCCUCAGAAGAGAACACACUUAUGAUCUAACAUAGAUUUUGUGCAUGUGUCAUUACAUUGUGUCUGUAUAAAUAUGUGAAAUGUCCCUGUGUUUUUGUGGCCUGUGCUUGCCUGCUAGCCUUUUUUCUUCUAACUCCUCUUUGUGUUUUUACAGCUUGAAGUGAUCUAUUUGAGAUGUAUAAGAAACUAGAAAAUCACACUUAAAAUGUCUGAAUGUCAUUGCAUUACAAAAUUAGAUAACAUUAGAUAACAAAAUGUCAAACCAAGUGGCAUCUGUUAACAAAUUCUGCUUUUCCCAGAACAAAGACGUGGUAUGAAGUAAUUUCUGCUCAAAUUCACACAUCUUAGCAGUGUAACUUUAAAUAUAGUUCCUCAUGUUACCUAUGGACAUGCUGCACAAAGUUUGACAACCAGAAUGUGUCUAAAUACUUUUAGAUAUCUAUUGUUUUAUCAUUUGAAACCUAACAAACUUCUUUGUGUGAAAUGUUUUGCUUGUGAAGUGUCCGUGCUAUAUUUCUUUAUAAUAAAUGGCAUUUGGUUUUAUAUUUUAUUAUAUAAUGCAAAGACAUUUAUACAUUUUUGUGGCAUAAUUGUCCAAAUACAUUUUGGACCACUGUAUAUAUGGAAAUCUAUUUUAUAAGCAUGCCUUUUAUUUCGAAAACUGUGAACACUUUAUUUAAAUGUACUCCUCAAAUGUUUAUUUUUUUCAAUACACUGUCUUUUAUACAGUAAAUUGGACUUGUUACUGUAGAUUCCUAACCGAACUGCUGUGGGCAGACUUUUCAUUUUGCACUAUAUUUUGAACCCAUGUCAUUUCUAGAAACGUGUUAUUGACUCAUCUAUAAACAUACGACUUUGACGUCAUCCAUCCGAUUCAGCGACCAAUCCAAAAACCCCAAAGCCAUGUCACAGAGCGAGUAACCUACAACCAUCUAACGCAACACUAACAGUCGUGUGAAUGCGGUGGAAAUGUAGCCAUGCAUAGCCUCGGUCUGAGGUACAAACCCCUGGACUCUCUUUACCUUCCAGUAUGGGUCCUGAAUUGUCCCGGUUCUGAGUGUUGCAGGACCUCCUGACGGUUCCAUGGAGCUGCUCCUCAGACCAAGCCUCAUGGACAACCGAUCUGCUCCUCUUUACUACUAGAGGGGCCCUUGCUGUGGCCUGUGCACUGUACCGCCCUCUUCUGUUCUGUCUGCGUCAUUGCAACAGCAUGUGAAGCGCAUAAGUGCUUUCCCACAUGAGGUCCAAUGAAGGACAGUAAAUCUUGUGUGUUCUGUGCUGAAAGAUUAGAGUAAUGAUCUUAACUCUGUAACUUCAUAAUUAUCAGCAUUUGUAGUGAGGAAGUUGAAAAGGUAAUGACUGUUCUAAAUGGUUAGGUUGUUUUUGUGUUAACUAAUCUGGCUCAUCACUAUACAAAAAAUGACAAUGUACAUGUAUUGGAGGAGAGUGAAUAUCUUAAAUGGAAUAAACAUAAGAGUAUGUCUGCAAUCUGACUGUUGAAAUGUGAGCAUUUACAACUUGAAUGUAAAAAUGUAAAAAAAAAAAAAAAAAAUUCAACUAUAUAUAUUCAGUUUUAUAUCUUAAGGAAGACUUUUUCUCAGUUAAAAACUUUGUGACACAUGCCACUGUAUCACCACUAAUUUCUGAAAGCUGUGCUCAAGAUACAGUGAUGAAACCUCUUCCCAGGGGUCUUGAUAAUGUGGUCACUUCAGAAUAAACAGACUGCCAUGCUUUGAUUUAUUACUGCAGCCUCAAGGUCUAGUGAGUCAUAUGCACAUUCUCUGGUUAAAGAAAUCUGUACAGUAUAUUAGUUGUAACAUAGUGCAGUUUCACAUGCAUGCAUCACAGACACAGGGCUUUUCCUGCUGUAUGUAUUGCGCUCGUUGCAAUAUUUUCAGUGGUGUAACUAAAGGGAGUUAUGUGUUUGUGAUAUGUUACGUUGUUUGAUUGGUUUUGCACUAUUAUAUGCUACUGCUGUCACUUGUACUAUUGUUGUUUCUUAGGAAUUUCAUUGAUUGUUCUAUAUAUGAGGGUUUGUUACUUUGUUUGCCCACUGCUUUUGCUCACAAGCAUUGCACAUUUAAAUGUCUUUUGUUUCACAUACUGAACAAUACAGCUUGGUUAUCAAACAUACUGCAUUUACUGCACAAUAAUGAAAAGAUAUAAAUUGCAGGUUAUGUAAAUAUGCAUCUUUGUUUCUGCCUGAGGGACUGAAAAUUAAAUUUCUAGAAUAGAAUCUUUAUCAAAAAAGCUCUUGUACAGAUAACUUUUAAUUCAACAGAUUUCUUGCCACAGGACAGCAACAACAAAAAAAAAGGUAGUUAAGAUGCUAAUAUGAACUGUGUGUUUUUGUAAUAGAGCGUAAAUUGCUGUUUGUGUGAGGAGAGUUGGGUAUUUUGUGUCUGACCAGCUUUUUUUUUUGGCUUUUCUAAUGUUCUGUUCAUUCUAAUUUAUGGUCAACUCCAAAUGUAUAUGCACAUUCUUGUCUUUCAUGAAAUAAAAAGCAAAUGAAAACUCAACACAUUA